UUGGAGGGCAAGUCUGGUGCCAGCAGCCGCGGUAAUUCCAGCUCCAAUAGCGUAUAUUAAAGUUGUUGCAGUUAAAAAGCUCGUAGUUGAAUUUCGGGAUUAGUACGUUGGUCGUGCCUUCGGUACGUACUGGUGUUACUGAUUCCUACCUUCUGACGAACCAUCAUGUCAUUAAUUUGGUGUGGUGGGGAAUCAGGACUGCUACUUUGAAAAAAUUAGAGUGUUUAAAGCAGGCUCGCGCUUGAAUACAUUAGCAUGGAAUAAUGAAAUAGGACGUUGACCCUAUUUUGUUGGUUUCUAGGAUUGACGUAAUGAUUAAUAGGGAUAGUUGGGGGCAUUAGUAUUCAAUUGUCAGAGGUGAAAUUCUUGGAUUUAUUGAAGACUAACUACUGCGAAAGCAUUUGCCAAGGAUGUUUUCAUUAAUCAAGAACGAAAGUUAGGGGAUCGAAGACGAUCAGAUACCGUCGUAGUCUUAACCAUAAACUAUGCCGACUAGGGAUCGGAUGAUGUUAUUUUUAAUGACUCAUUCGGCACCUUACGGGAAAC
rnacentral:rRNA from 1 species